UCCGGGGUGGUGCAAUUGGUAGCACAUGGGCCUUUGGAGCCUAGAAUCUUGGUUCGAGUCCAAGC
rnacentral:tRNA from 1 species